GUUCACCCCAAUACCUGGCUCCAGGUUUGUUUUUAUUAAUGAGAAAAUGAACAGAUGAGAUACCAUGCUCCAUUAAAUGGCUGUUUACUUUCAUCAGCAUACUACAGUGGAUGUGGUAUAAUGAUACUCCUUUCUUACACUCUUGGAAUACUUCUACCAGCCUUUGAAGAAGUCCAGGAGGAAAGAUAAUGUGAGCCCAGCUGUAUUAGCCAUCACAAAUGAGGAACUCAUAGCGUUAGUGAAGCCAUCUUGGAACCCUCAGCCCAAAGUCAACUCUACAGCAGAAAUUCCCAAUGUCAUUUCCUGCAAUGACAGAAAUGCUCCCCCCAUCCAAUAUGACAGCCACUGACAUAAGCUGUUGACCACUGGAAAUUGUGGCUAUGAUUUUUGAAUUUCAAAUUUAUUCAAUUGUAAUGGAUUUAAAUAAAACAAUGAAUUGAA